UACGAAGGGGGCUAGCGUUGUUCGGAAUCACUGGGCGUAAAGCGCACGUAGGCGGAUCUUUUAAGUCAGGGGUGAAAUCCCGAGGCUCAACCUCGGAACUGCCUUUGAUACUGGGGAUCUCGAGUCCGGGAGAGGUGAGUGGAACUGCGAGUGUAGAGGUGAAAUUCGUAGAUAUUCGCAAGAACACCAGUGGCGAAGGCGGCUCACUGGCCCGGAACUGACGCUGAGGUGCGAAAGCGUGGGGAGCAAACAGG
rnacentral:rRNA from 1 species